rnacentral:rRNA from 1 species
AUUGAACGCUGGCGGCAGGCCUAACACAUGCAAGUCGAACGGUAACAGGAAGAAGCUUGCUUCUUUGCUGACGAGUGGCGGACGGGUGAGUAAUGUCUGGGAAACUGCCUGAUGGAGGGGGAUAACUACUGGAAACGGUAGCUAAUACCGCAUAAUGUCGCAAGACCAAAGAGGGGGACCUUCGGACCUCUUGCCAUCGGAUGUGCCCAGAUGGGAUUAGCUAGUAGGUGGGGUAACGGCUCACCUAGGCGACGAUCCCUAGCUGGUCUGAGAGGAUGACCAGCCACACUGGAACUGAGACACGGUCCAGACUCCUACGGGAGGCAGCAGUGGGGAAUAUUGCACAAUGGGCGCAAGCCUGAUGCAGCUAUGCCGCGUGUAUGAAGAAGGCCUUCGGGUUGUAAAGUACUUUCAGCGGGGAGGAAGGGAGUAAAGUUAAUACCUUUGCUCAUUGACGUUACCCGCAGAAGAAGCACCGGCUAACUCCGUG